rnacentral:rRNA from 1 species
UACGUAGGGUGCGAGCGUUGUCCGGAAUUAUUGGGCGUAAAGGGCUCGUAGGCGGUUUGUCGCGUCGGGAGUGAAAACACCGGGCUUAACUCGGUGCUUGCUUUCGAUACGGGCAGACUAGAGGCAUGCAGGGGAGAACGGAAUUCCUGGUGUAGCGGUGAAAUGCGCAGAUAUCAGGAGGAACACCGGUGGCGAAGGCGGUUCUCUGGGCAUGUCCUGACGCUGAGGAGCGAAAGUGUGGGGAGCGAGCAGG